rnacentral:piRNA from 1 species
UCGGCUUAUUUCAAAAUCUAA